UGCAAGUCGGACGGUAGCACAGAGAGCUUGGUCUUGGGUGACGAGUGGGGGACGGGUGAGUAAUGUCUGGGGAUCUGCCCGAUAGAGGGGGAUAACCACUGGAAACGGUGGCUAAUACCGCAUAACGUCGCAAGACCAAAGAGGGGGACCUUCGGGCCUCUCACUAUCGGAUGAACCCCCAUGGGAUUAUCUAGUAGGCGGGGUAAUGGGCCACCUAUGCGACAAUCCCUAUCUGGGCUGAGAGGAUGACCAGCCACACUGGAACUGAGACACGGUCCACACUCCUACGGGAGGCAGCAGUGGGGAAUAUUGCGCAAUGGGCGCAAGCCUGAUGCACCCAUGCCGCGUGUAUGAAAAAAGCCUUCUGGUUGUAAAGUACUUUCUCCGGGGAGGAAAGCGAUGGGGUUAAUAACCCUGUCUAUUGACGUUACCCGCACAAAAAACACCGGCUAACUCCGUGCCACCACCCGCGGUAAUACGGAGGGUGCAAGCGUUAUUCGCAAUUACUGGGCGUAAAGCGCACGCACGCGGUCUGUUAAAUCACAUGUGAAAUCCCCGGGCUUAUCCUGGGAACUGCGUUUGAAACUGUCAGGCUUGAGUCUUGUAUAGGGGGGGUAUAAUUCCACGUGUAUCGGUGAGAUGCGUAUAGAUCUGUAGGAAUACCGGUGGCGAAAGCGGCCCCCUGUACAAAGACUGACGCUCACGUGCGAAAGCGUGUGGAGCAAACAGGAUUAUAUACCCUGGUAGUCCACGCCGUAUACGAUGUC
rnacentral:rRNA from 1 species